rnacentral:rRNA from 1 species
UGCCAGCAGCCGCGGUAAUACGAAGGUCCCGAGCGUUGUUCGGAAUCACUGGGCGUAAAGGGAGCGUAGGCUGCGCGGUAAGUCAGAUGUGAAAUCCCGGGGCUCAACCCCGGAACUGCAUCCGAUACUGCCGUGCUGAGAGGAUUGGAGAGGUAGCUGGAAUUCUUGGUGUAGCAGUGAAAUGCGUGGAUAUCAAGAGGAACACUCGUGGCGAAAGCGAGCUACUGGACAACUCCUGACGCUGAGGCUCGAAGGCCAGGGUAGCGAAAGGGAUUAGAUACCCCUGUAGUCCUGGCAGUAAACGGUGCACGCUUGGUGUGAGGGGAAUCGACCCCCCUUGUGCCGGAGCUAACGCGUUAAGCGUGCCGCCUGGGAAGUACGGUCGCAAGACUAAAACUCAAAGGAAUUGACGGGGGCCCGCACAAGU